GACAGAGGUCCCGAGCGUUAGGCGGAAUCACUGGGCUUAAAGCGUGUGUAGGCGGACGGGUAAGUACCUUGUGAAAUCCCACGGCUCAACCGUGGAACUGCUGGGUAUACUGCCUGUCUUGAGCCAGCUAGGGGCGACCGGAACAAAUGGUGGAGCGGUGAAAUGCGUAGAUAUCAUUUGGAACGCCAAUGGUGAAAACAGCUCGCUGGGGGUUUGCUGACGCUGAGACACGAAAGCCAGGGGAGCAAACGGG
rnacentral:rRNA from 1 species